rnacentral:rRNA from 1 species
UACGUAGGCAGCAAGCGUUGUUCGGAGUUACUGGGCGUAAAGGGUGCGUAGGCGGUUGUUUAAGUUUGGUGUGAAAUCCCCCGGCUCAACUGGGAGGGUGCGCCGAAUACUGAAUGACUAGAGUGCGGGAGAGGAGAGUGGAAUUCCUGGUGUAGCGGUGAAAUGCGUAGAUAUCAGGAGGAACACCGGUGGUGUAGACGGCUCUCUGGACCGUAACUGACGCUGAGGCACGAAAGCGUGGGUAGCAAACAGG